rnacentral:lncRNA from 7 species
AGGAAAUUGUGUGUUUUGUACAGGCAGGAGUGAUACGGGCCCUGCUUCCAGAAGUCAUGGAGACCCUGCGCUUUGCCAGCACGCCCAUUACUCUGAAGGUGCUCAAUAUCUUCAGAAAUGUAAUGCGCAAUCUGGGGAAGAGGCAGGCCAGUCCCAUUGCUCUGCAGCUGGCUGAGAAGAUUCUGCCUCUUUUUAAUCACGUGUCAAGUGAGGUGCGAGAAGGUUCCAUCCGCCUCUUCAAAGAAGUGAUGGAUGCUGUGGUGUGGCGUGAGAAGGCAAACAUGAAGAAGGCUGUGCGCAGGGGCCUGCUCCCUCUGCUCUUUCAGUUGAGCAGCGACAAAGAAUGAUUCUGCAAAGCUUCUUUGCUGACAUUUAGCUCUUAAAAUAACGACAUUAUUUUUAGUAUCCUACGUUAUUUUAUACAUUUUAUGUUUUGUUAGUUUUGUAUUAAAUUAUAUUUUUACAUUUAAAUAUUUUUGUAAU